rnacentral:rRNA from 1 species
UAGGGAAUCUUCGGCAAUGGGGGCAACCCUGACCGAGCAACGCCGCGUGAGUGAAGAAGGUUUUCGGAUCGUAAAGCUCUGUUGUAAGAGAAGAACGUGUGUGAGAGUGGAAAGUUCACACAGUGACGGUAACUUACCAGAAAGGGACGGCUAACUACGUGCCAGCAGCCGCGGUAAUACGUAGGUCCCGAGCGUUGUCCGGAUUUAUUGGGCGUAAAGCGAGCGCAGGCGGUUUAAUAAGUCUGAAGUUAAAGGCAGUGGCUUAACCAUUGUUCGCUUUGGAUACUGUUAAACUUGGGUGCAGAAGGGGAGAGUGGAAUUCCAUGUGUAGCGGUGAAAUGCGUAGAUAUAUGGAGGAGCACCGGUGGCGAAAGCGGCGCGCUGGUCUGUAACUGACGCUGAGGCUCGAUAGCGUGGGGAGCAAACAGG